rnacentral:rRNA from 1 species
GCACUGGCUUCGCUGAUUCCUCCUUUCUGAAGAACUGUAAUGCCAUUAAUUUGGUGUUGCAGGGAAACAGGACUGUUACUUUGAAAAAAUUAGAGUGUUUAAAGCAGGCUAACGCUUGAAUACAUAAGCAUGGAAUAAUGAAAUAGGACGUUUGAUCCUAUUUUGUUGGUUUCUAGGAUUGACGUAAUGAUUAAUAGGGAUAGUUGGGGGCAUUAGUAUUCAAUUGUCAGAGGUGAAAUUCUUGGAUUUAUUGAAGACUGACUACUGCGAAAGCAUUUGCCAAGGAUGUUUUCAUUAAUCAAGAACGAAAGUUAGGGGAUCGAAGACGAUCAGAUACCGUCGUAGUCUUAACCAUAAACUAUGCCGACUAGGGAUCGGAUGAUGUUAAUUUUUUAAUGACUCAUUCGGCGCCUUACG